rnacentral:rRNA from 1 species
GAUGAACGCUGGCGGCGUGCCUAAUACAUGCAAGUCGAGCGAACAGAUGAGAAGCUUACUUCUCUGAUGUUAGCGGCGGACGGGUGAGUAGCACGUGGGUAACCUACCUAUAAGACUGGGAUAACUCCGGGAAACCGGGGCUAAUACCGGAUAAUAUUUUGAACCGCAUAGUUCAAUAGUGAAAGACGGUUUCGGCUGUCACUUAUAGAUGGACCCGCGCCGUAUUAGCUAGUUGGUAAGGUAACGGCUUACCAAGGCGACGAUACGUAGCCGACCUGAGAGGGUGAUCGGCCAAACUGGAACUGAGACACGGUCCAGACUCCUACGGGAGGCAGCAGUAGGGAAUCUUCCGCAAUGGGCGAAAGCCUGACGGAGCAACGCCGCGUGAGUGAUGAAGGUCUUCGGAUCGUAAAACUCUGUUGUUAGGGAAGAACAAAUUUGUUAGUAACUGAACAAGUCUUGACGGUACCUAACAAGAAAGCCACGGCUAACUACGUGCCAGCCGCCGCAGAAA